rnacentral:rRNA from 1 species
UACGAGGGGGGCAAGCGUUGUUCGGAAUUAUUGGGCGUAAGGGGCGCGUAGGCGGCGCCACAAGUCACUUGUGAAAACUCUGGGCUCAACUCAGAGCCUGCAAGCGAAACUGUGGUGCUGGAGUAUGGGAGAGGUGCGUGGAAUUCCCGGUGUAGCGGUGCAAUGCGUAGAUCUCGGGAGGAACCCCUGUGGCGAAGGCGGCGCACUGGACCAUAACUGACGCUGAGGCUCGAAAGCUAGGGGAGCAAACAGG